rnacentral:rRNA from 1 species
GGGCCCGCACAAGCGGUGGAGCAUGUGGUUUAAUUCGAUGCAACGCGAAGAACCUUACCUACCCUUGACAUACAGUGAAUUUUGCAGAGAUGCGAAAGUGCCUUCGGGAAUACUGAUACAGGUGCUGCAUGGCUGUCGUCAGCUCGUGUCGUGAGAUGUUGGGUUAAGUCCCGUAACGAGCGCAACCCUUAUUGCUAGUUGCCAGCGCGUAAAGGCGGGGACUCUAGUGAGACUGCCGGUGACAAACCGGAGGAAGGCGGGGACGACGUCAAGUCAUCAUGGCCCUUACGGGUAGGGCUACACACGUGCUACAAUGGCCGGUACAGAGGGUGGCGAAGGGGAGACCUUAAAGCUCGUCGUAGUCCGGAUUGGAGUCUGCAACUCGACUCCAUGAAGUCGGAAUCGCUAGUAAUCG